GCCAGAGUGGUGUAAUGGUAGCCACGCGACACUUAAACUGUCGUUUCCGUAAGGGAGUACGGGUUCGAGUCCCGUCUCUGGUA
rnacentral:tRNA from 1 species